GAGUUUGAUCGUGGCUCAGAUUGAACGCUGGCGGCAUGCCUUACACAUGCAAGUCGAACGGCAGCACGGGAGCUUGCUCCUGGUGGCGAGUGGCGAACGGGUGAGUAAUGCAUCGGAACGUAUCCUGGAGUGGGGGAUAACGUAGCGAAAGUUACGCUAAUACCGCAUAUUCUGUGAGCAGGAAAGCGGGGGACCUUCGGGCCUCGCGCUCUUGGAGCGGCCGAUGUCGGAUUAGCUAGUUGGUGAGGUAAAGGCUCACCAAGGCGACGAUCCGUAGCAGGUCUGAGAGGAUGAUCUGCCACACUGGAACUGAGACACGGUCCAGACUCCUACGGGAGGCAGCAGUGGGGAAUUUUGGACAAUGGGGGCAACCCUGAUCCAGCCAUGCCGCGUGAGUGAAGAAGGCUUUCGGGUUGUAAAGCUCUUUCGCGAGGGAAGAAAUUAGCACCGGACAAUACCUGGUGUAGAUGACGGUACCUUGAUAAGAAGCACGGCUAACUACGUGCCAG
rnacentral:rRNA from 1 species